rfam:Clostridiales bacterium 44_9 Ley3_66761_scaffold_4648, whole genome shotgun sequence.
CUAUGUCCAAAACGUCGCACCUCUUAACACUCUGACAUCCCAUAGAAAUUUCCGUGCAGGGAUGCACGGAAAAGAUGCAGCUAAGCCAUGGAUGGCGCAUCUGCAUCGGUUUCGUCCGUCCCCGAUACCCCACACCAGAGUGUUUAGAAGUGCAGUUUUGGGACAUC